GUACGCUAUUCAGAGUUUGAUCCUGGCUCAGGAUGAACGCUGGCGGCGUGCUUAACACAUGCAAGUCGAACGAAGCGUCUGAACGGAUUUCUUCGGAAUGAAGUUCUUGUGACUGAGUGGCGGACGGGUGAGUAACGCGUGGGUAACCUGCCUUACACAGGGGGAUAACAGUUAGAAAUGACUGCUAAUACCGCAUAACCCGCUAGUACCGCAUGGUACAGACGGAAAAGAUUUAUCGGUGUAAGAUGGACCCGCGUCUGAUUAGCUGGUUGGUAGGGUAACGGCCUACCAAGGCAACGAUCAGUAGCCGACUUGAGAGAGUGACCGGCCACAUUGGGACUGAGACACGGCCCAA
rnacentral:rRNA from 1 species